rnacentral:tRNA from 1 species
CCCUGUAGCUCAGUUGGUAGAGCAUGGUGUUUGCAGCACCAGGGUUGUGGGUUUGAUUCCCACAGGGG